rnacentral:rRNA from 1 species
AUGCCGAGUGGGGACCAGGUCGGUGCAUAUCGGUUCAUGACGUGCCCCUCUUUGUCAACUAGAAACUUGGUGAAGUUCCACUUGAUACGUUCUCCAAAUAGACCGCCCCUCUCUGACUUCAAGAACUUGUACAGUGGGGCAGCAUUGUUGCCGUUCACGUCAACCUUGCGAAAAAUAGGAAACUCUGCUUGGAAGCGAUUGCAAGCAAACUCCACAAUCUUCUCAUCGCUAUCUGGUUCCUGUCCAGCAAAUUGA